UGGGGAAUCUUGCACAAUGGGGGAAACCCUGAUGCAGCGACGCCGCGUGAACGAUGAAGCCCUUCGGGGUGUAAAGUUCUUUCGACAGGAACGACAAUGACGGUACCUGGAGGAGAAGCUGCGGCUAACUACGUGCCAGCAGCCGCGGUAAUACGUAGGCAGCGAGCGUUGUUCGGAGUUACUGGGCGUAAAGAGUGCGUAGGCGGCGAGCCAAGUUUGGUGUGAAAUCUCCCGGCUUAACCGGGAGGGUGCGCCGAAAACUGGUUGGCUGGAGUAUGGGAGAGGAAAGCGGAAUUCCUGGUGUAGCGGUGAAAUGCGUAGAUAUCAGGAGGAACACCUGCGGUGUAGACAGCUUUCUGAACCAAAACUGACGCUGAGGCACGAAAGCGUGGGUAGCAAACA
rnacentral:rRNA from 1 species